rnacentral:tRNA from 1 species
UUAAUUAAAAACUUUAACUAAUUUAAUUUACUGUUAAUAAAUUUAAAGAAAAAAAUUUUCUAGUUAAA